UUUCCAAAGGUUAACACUCCACCUGUCUUCCAUUCAUGUUGUGAAAGAAGUAACACUUGUUUGGACUAAAAAUCAUUCCUCCCACUUCCAAAACUAGGUAUUUAAACCACACUCUCUCCAGUAAAGUCUGAACCCAUUCUGUGCACAGGAUCCUCAAGAAAGGACAAAUUCAGCCCUAAGAUGCCAUAAAGGAUUUCCUUAUGUCUUAUAAAUUCUCUUUUAUGUUGUUAAUAACUCAUAUUAAAUGCUCCAGUUAGCCUA